AUUAAAACAAAAAUGUAUAAAAACUAUCUCAGUGCAGAAAUUCUCUUCAGAGAGAAAUGCAAGAUUAGAUUGAAAUUUAGGAAAUUUCUUAGAAAGACCAAUAUUAGUACCAGAAGAUAACAUCAUGUAUGAAAGUAGUAAUGGAACUUUUAAUAUUAGAUUUGAAAAUUAUAAUUAUGAAGCAGAACAAAAAAAGCACAAUGAAGGAAUGUGGAUGCUUUGAGAUAGAAAAUUAAGAAAAUGAAGAUAAAGUUAAUGUGUUAGAUGAAGACAGUGAAAAAGAUGAAAUUGAGGACGAUGAAAAAGAAUUCUAAUAUAUAGAUAUGAAGUACUAUAGAAAUCUUAGAAAGACUAGAGAAAUAGAAAUUAGAAUGUUAAUAGAAAAGACCAAGCAAACAUAGAAACCAAGAUAGAAGAAGUUAGCAAAAGAACUAAAUUUGAAACAGACCAAAAAUUCGGAAAAAGAAAAGAUCCCAUGAAUGCAAAAUAUGAUAUAAGAGGUAAAUACCCUUUUCCCCUACAAGAGAUUUUGGAUGGAAAGAUAAAAAUUAUAAAAGUUUAGAGCAUAUAACUAAAUGAGAAAAUUUUGUAAUUAUAGCAUAUAAUAGUGCACCUAUACAAAUGAUUGUAAAAGAAAUGUGGGCUUACUUAGAACUUAUAUAGGAAAGACGGCAUUAGACAUGUACGUUAUAGCAAAAAGACAAAAACAAGAAGAAAUUAGAUUAAGAAUGGCCAUAGGAGAUAAUCAUCAAUUCCAAAAUGAUGAAUAUAUGAAAAUUGUGGUUUUGAUUCUCAUGUUAUUGAGCUUUUGCGGUGGUGCAGUAAUGAUCACAACAAAAAUUUAAUUCUCCAGAUGGGGCAAAGUAAGCUUUUGUGAUGUAAUCGCCUGUCAUUUUGUUUAUUUUUUCUUCAUGCUUUUAGUACAAUAUAAUGAUCAGGAAAAUGUUACGAGUCGCUCUUAUCUAUGAUGUGUUUUCUUACAGAAAAACUUGCAGGUGAAGCAGCAGAUAAACACCAAAGGAUUCUGCUGAUGGAAAAGUUUGCGAAUUACCAAUUGAUGAAUCUACUAGAAGCCAGAAAGACAAGAAGAAGAAAGGCAAGUUAACGUGUGAAUUACUAGACAGUGAUGAAAAGCAAAUAGAUGCGAGGAUAAUAGCAACAGGACAACAUGGUAGCGACAUUUCAUCAUAUGGGAAUAAAUUCCAGGCUAAAUAAAAGAAGAGAAAGAAAGAGGCUACAGCUUCUACAGAAUCAUCUGGUUCUGGUACAGAGAUAUGUGAUAGUGAAAACUCAAUAUUUGGAAAACCUAAACAAAAUUGAUUGAGUGUAGAAGAUUGUGUUGACGAAUAUAAGAUGGCUUCCUAGAAAUGAAAAAGAUUUACUCUUGAUGAAAAUGAGAACCACCCUGUAGAAGAAGUAGCAGUUGAAGAAUUAAAGCGCAGAAAGCCUGGAGGCUUAGAAGAAUUGAAGGUUGUUGAGCAGCAAAUCACUAUCUCUAGAGCUAAUGGACUUUGCUGAGUCUCCGAAUUUUCUGUUAAGAAAGUUGAUGAAAGCACUAACGGUAAUAUCAACAGGAAUGAACUGAAAAAUUCCAGUCAACCAAAAUCUGGGAGGAGACAGCGCAACAGUUCUGCUGAGGUAUACGUUUCUGUAUAUAUUUAUCCCUUUCCAUUUCUAUUUUGUGUUUUUUCUUGUUUACCUUUUUUUAAAAGAAAAAAUAAAAACAAAUAUAAAUCAAGCAGAGCUGCUCAGCAGAAGUCAUUCUGUUAGAGGAUCUUGUUGUAAACUAAUUAAAAAGUUGAAGUGAAAAUAAAAACAGAGUCGAGGAAAAUCUGGCUGAGGCUUGAAGCUAACAUGGUGAUUAAUCAGGAGAAGGAAUUAUAAAAGAAGGGGCGAGGAAAAUCCGUGGGUACUUGAAACUGCAGGAAGAAGAAAAGUAAAAUCUUAUGAAAUAAAUGAAUCAAGUUUUCUUUUGGCCGCCCCAGUUUAUAAAUGAUUUAUAUAUUUAAUCAAAGUCAAAUAUUAAUUUCAACCACACAUACAUAACUAUUACUCAUUUAUUAUCCACACAUUUCGAGGAACACACUACUAUUCCUCUUUAUAAUGGUUCAUAAAUUUGCCAAAAGGAGGCUAAGUGAUCAAAUAGGCCUGGAUCAUUUUCCCAUAAAGACGAUAAAAAUGACUUUAAACCCAAAGCAAUGCUGAUCACCACAAUGAUUUUUGAAAGAUUUUAGCAUUCUUAGCGAUCCAUGUGCACCAUCAUAGCACAGCUCCACAUUAUUUUUGCUUCUUUACUAGUGCUACUAUCUGAAAUCUUACAAUUAAAUAAAUCAACCAAAGCUGUUUCUGGACAAUGGACUCUUUGAAGUCUAGAAUCAAUCUCAAACAUGAUUUUUCUAGUGAAAUCAUAAUGUAAGAAAAGAUGAGGUCCUGUUACGUCACCUACAUAUGAAUUAAAUGACAAAGCUCAUGGGAGCUAUGCUUUUAUGACCGAUCACUACUUGAUUUUCAUUUGGAUCAAAGUUCAUGAAGUGGCUUCAUCUUUUAUAGGAUUUGCAAUUUUUGAAUGUAAAACAUCAACUGAGUAUUAGGUGUAUAUUAUUAUACUAUUAAUAGUUCUUGUUUUAAUAUUAUGUCUUGAAAUACUGGUUUAGUUAUAGUAUACACUUUUAUGGAUUAAAAAGUUCUAGAUAUCUACUAUGGAUUUAAAAGUGAUUGUUGGGUUGAAAGCAAAAGGUGAACUGGAAAGUUGAAGUGAACGUUGAGUUUUCUUGUUUGGUUGAAUUGAACAGAAAGUGACAGGAAAAUGAAUUCAGUUUGUAGUUCAAGUACUAUAUGGCCAAAGUUUAACCUGCGUAUCAUUUUGAACAAUUAUUCAAAAAUUUGUUUCCGCAAACCAGAGGGACGAAAGUUUCUCUCUGGAAGGAAUGAAAUUGGAGUUUCCGCCAACUUUACCCUUGUACCAAACAUAUUGUUUUUGAUAUGGUUUGUAAACUAUGUGUAGUAAAACCAAGCAUAACGUUAUGAUAUAUUUUGUACAUCAUCUGUAGUAGACUAGAGUUCUCACUUAAACAAAUCUUGCAAGGGAUAUAAUAUUGCUGAAGUAAUGUUAAGAGGGAACAUGUUUUUUCCAGUAAAAUCUUUUAAGUCUAUUCUUGCCUUCAUAUGCAUCCUUUUGCUGGUGGCCGGAAGGGUGGUAGUUUCGUUUUUGUUCUCUCCUUUUUGAGUUUGAAGUUUUGACCUCUGGCUGUGGUUCUUGUGUUUUCUUUCGUUUUUCUUCUUUAACGGUUAUGUAGCAUGGACACUCUAACUAGGAUAGCGUGUCCGUGUCGGACAAGUGUCGAUACUGACACUCUUCGAAUACUCUACAAUAAUUAUUUUCCUUUCUUAUUAUAGUUAUUAUAUAUUUUUGACUCAAAAUUUUUAAUAAAUAAUAAAUAAGUACUCAUAUUUAAAAGAUUUCAACAAAAGAGAAUCAAUAAUAAGUAUAAAACUAAAUUUAAAUCAUAUAAAUGAAGAAUUUAAUGAACAUGUAGACGAUGUGUCGUGUCAAUAUUUUUUUGAAAAAUCACGAGUCGAUGUAUCCAACACGUAUCGUGUCGGACACACGUGUCCGUGUUGGUGCAUCAUAGUCUGAUGGUGUUCAAAUGUAUAUAUUUUUUCUUUUCUAUUUUGCAUAGACUAUAGACGUUGAAUACUGUUGCUAUGGUUCCAAAUUGUUUUGGGUUUCCCAAAAAUACCUUAGAGGAGUUUUCAAAACGAUAAUAAUUGAUGGUUUAUGCAGCCCAAAACAGUGAAUGCGUUUCAAAGGGUGAAAGUUGAUGAUGUGAAAUAUGUUGAUGAGAGGCUUCAAGAUGACUCUUAUUGGGCACUGGUUUGUUUUUUUUCCUUGUUAUUUUCGCAUGCUCUGGUGAAUGUAUGAAUAUUUAUUUGUGUACAUGUGACACCGAAUAUUUUAUGCACAGACAAUAAAUGUUUCCAUAAAGCAUUCUCUACCAUGUUCUCCUGUGUUUUAACAUUUAAG
rnacentral:lncRNA from 1 species